AGGGUUAUUGAAAUCGCGGUGUGAGCUGUCUUCCGUCUAUAAAUAUGCCUCUCCCGGGUUCUGCUGCAGGCUUUCAGGCAGCGAGCGCAGAGACGGCUGGUGAGGGAGGAGGGACUGCUUAAGGCGACAGCAGAUAAGU